rnacentral:rRNA from 1 species
CCUACGGGAGGCAGCAGUAGGGAAUAUUGCUCAAUGGGGGCAACCCUGACGCAGCAACGCCGCGUGGAGGAAGAAGGUUUUCGGAUUGUAAACUUCUUUUGUCAGAGACGAUAAUGACGGUAUCUCCUGACUAAUCACCGGCUACCUCCUUCCCAGCAGCCGCGGUAAUACGGCGGGUGCAAGAGUUACUCGGAUUCAUUGGGCGUAAAGGGCGCCUAGGCGGGAUUGCAAGUCAGAUGUGAAAUCCUAUGGCUUAACCAGAGAACUGCAGUUGAAACUGUAAUUCUAGAGUAUGGGAGAGGUAGGCGGAAUUCUUAGUGUAGGGGUGAAAUCCGUAGAGAUCAGGAGGAAUACUAGUUGCGAAGGCGACCUGCUAGA